ACCGCGACGCUGAGUCGCUACUGCCUCCUCCAUUCUUUAAGUUUAUGUCGGUGUGUUCGGGGGAACCUCUAGCGGUUGCAACGACACGCUAAGCGUCCGCGUGUAGCCGCGGUCGUACGUCUGCGUUUCUUCAGAUGCGAACAAAGGCGCGGGCAGCUGCGCCUCGAGAUCAUCUCCCGCAGCUUGUUACCGGUACUGGUACCGGAGUUGAGCUUUUGGACGCGAUGUUGGGGCACAAUGGGUACCAGUACCACGGGUAGACGUGUUUCAGGACACGUCUGUGACAUUUGGUGUCUGUAAAGCGUCCGUAGCGACGCUACGUCUGUCGCCAUAUGUUCAAACGGCAGGUUCGGCACCCAGAGGAUCCUUUCAAGGUAGCGUGAACUCCAGCGUGAGGUCUGGCCGGUGGCAGUUGACGGAGCACGGAGGAUCUGGUUCAUCUUGAUAGAUGCUUGCUUUGACGCCAAUAACAUUAGCGUAUGCAAAAUUCCUCCAUUUGAUGGAAUUGAGCCUCCACCAUAAAAAGGUUGUGGUGAAGGUGUCUGUUCGAUGCGAGCGUACCUGCGUCGAGUGGACACUUCGGUGGACACGAUGCACUAGAGCCUUGUUCGUUGGGCGUCUGAAUCAGGCUCCGCAGCUGGAGCAAUGCUGCUGGACCGACGAAGUCUUUUUGCUAACCCAGGGGCAUGCCUUACUGGCUUUGAUGGAACGUGGACGCGUCUGCGGAGGAGCCGAGCUCGUUCCCCUGCGCGUGCACGAGCGCCCUGCGCGCUUCGCACACAGGGACUCGCUUCACGUCUAGCCAGGGUGCGGACGUCGUCGAAGCAGCCGCUUUUGGUUGCUGCGGCUGGGACUACGCGACAGGAGCGGAGCCCAGCUGGAUUCAGCGCUUGAACUGCUCGAGGAAUGCACGAUAGACGUGAGCUUCGCCAGAGACAGCGACGCAGUGGCGCAGACGGCCAAGCGCUGUGAGUGCGUAACUCGGACGACAUUCGCGGUCGCAAGGGGAACGCCUGGAGACCCUAUUCUAGGAAGUUCGGGAUCGAGAGUCGACCGCAGAUUAACAGAGACGGCGAGAGAAACACCGCUUUGAGCGUGCAGCACGCCCGCAACCACGAGAGUGGCUGCGGGCUUCGCUGCUUACCGCUGGAUAGCGGCACCUGUCCUUGCCAACAACUCGAAGCAAGUAUUUUACGAGCAGUGAGUCGGUACGCGCUGGAUUCGCGUUUUCGGAGGUCUCUUGAACGAACCAUCCAGACUCGAAGACAUGCUCAGGGUGUGGCGGCUGGUACGUUGCGCCGGACGGAGCGUCUGUUCAUUUUUCCUUGACGUUCGUUGGAAGAGGAAAAAGAACAGCAGACUCCGCCGCUUUCUGUGCACGUAUUGGCCUACAGAGGUCACGGGUGCACACUGUUGGACUGUACGGAUGGUUUCGCUCUGGGAAUCUUCCUUGGUACCGUACGUGCGCUACGAAUAUACACAGCACACGCCGAACAGUGUCCGCAUGGGUAAACC